UCGCGUCGAUCGCUCCGAGAUUUCAAGUCGAAAAUGGAUCAAUUUCGUCAGGAUAAAUCCUAAUUUUGGUUGAUUUUAGUAGCGUAACCGCCGACGGUCAAAAUAAUGUAAAAAUUACAGAAAAUCAAAGCAAGUUUGUAGAACUUUUCGGAUUUCAGGGUUAAACGUUCCGGUAUUUGCAGUGACGCUUAUUCGGAAAAAUGUUUAAAGUUCAUUUUACCUAUUUUGGCCACAGGAUUGGUCAAAUUUUAGGUUUCUAGUGAUAAAUUUGAAGCUUCACUGCCAUUUAGAUACAGUUCGUCGCGUGUAAAAAAUCGUUUUUGUGAGUGCGAAUUCUAAAAGUGUUUUCCAACGAACACUUUUCGCGCGGGAAACUGUUGGAAAUCUGGGAAAUUCGAACUUUAGUGACUACGCAAAAUAGUGAAAAGUUCAUUUGUAUGGAAUUAUCAAAACCUCCAAGAUUCUCGUGCAAUGUGGAAGAAGGAAGCAGAAUUUGAAGGACAGGAAGCUGGACGAAGCUGGCAUCGCCUCGAGGAGGAAAACCGCGAAGUAGUAAGUGCAUUUUGAAGUUCCUCUUGCCUCCGAUCAAUUGCGCAGGAUGAAUGGUCCAAAGACCGACACGGAGAUUUUGGCGAGGUUCGCUGUCCUUCCAGUAAGAAAAUUCUUUCAAUUUGUCAAGAAUUAAAAAAAAACUCACAAAAUUCAGGGAAUUUCUAUAAGAGGGACUUUAAAUAACAACUGUCAAGAAGAGUCCAUUUUGAAAUUUUAAUUUGAA